GAUGAACGCUAGCGGGAGGCUUAACACAUGCAAGUCGAGGGGCAGCAUAAUGUAGCAAUACUUUGGUGGCGACCGGCGCACGGGUGAGUAACACGUAUGCAACCUACCUGUAAGAGGGGAAUAACCCGGAGAAAUUCGGACUAACACCGCAUAAUACCUCGAAGCUGCAUGGCUUUGAGGUUAAAUAUUUAUAGCUUACAGAUGGGCAUGCGUGACAUUAGAUAGUUGGUGAGGUAACGGCUCACCAAGUCAACGAUGUUUAGGGGUUCUGAGAGGAAGGUCCCCCACACUGGUACUGAGACACGGACCAGACUCCUACGGGAGGCAGCAGUGAGGAAUAUUGGUCAAUGGGCGAGAGCCUGAACCAGCCAAGUCGCGUGAAGGAAGAAGGCUCUAUGGAUUGUAAACUUCUUUUGUAAGGGAAUAAAAAAGCUUACGUGUAGGCUAUUGUAUGUACUUUACGAAUAAGGAUCGGCUAACUCCGUGCCAGCCGCCGCAGUAACAC
rnacentral:rRNA from 1 species